GAGUGGUUAAAAGAUAGAACAGUCCCGUCAAGUGCCAUGUCUCUUAUUCUUGAUCAGCUAUAGCUCUGGAGUUUUUGCAGAUUUUCAAAUAAAACUCAGAGAUUCCUUUGUAUGACUCUCUCAUAUCUCUCUUUUGUGGUAUUUCUGGAUCCUUAGCAAGGCAGUGAUGGUAUAUGCCUUCUCUCAAAAUAUGUGGUAUUUGUGGUAUAAGGCAUAGUGACAUUGCCUUCUCUCUCACCCUACUCUAAUAAGGCUUUAAUAUCUGGAGCUCAUAGGUGGGAGAUAAAGUAUACAUACUUACAAGACAUUUAUUGUAUAGUCAAACCAUGGAUCCAAAGAAACAAAUCAAUAAGCCAAAUCAAGAUGUGCAUGUGUGGCGAAUGAAUGGUGUAUAGUGAUGAUGGUGAUAACAAUGGUGAAAGUCUAAUUCUACUUUUGCUCUUAUGAGGGGAUACAUACCUUCCUUGCUUUUUGAAACUUUAUGAGGAGAAUGAGAUGCUCUUCUUUUUCUUUCCUCUCAGGUGGGUAUCUUGUACCCCUAAUUCUACUGUCGGACACUUGUCCAUUUUUACCUCUCGUCUCACUUUUUCUUUCUUUCGAGGUUCCGGGCACUUGCCCUUUUUUUAUUUCCUCGUUUAUUAUUAUUAUUAUUUUUUUUCUUUUCUUCUCUUUUCUUUUUUUUAGACCACUCAUCUCCUGAAAUAAUUUAGCAAGUGGUAGUAACCAAAAUAACUGGAGCAUUUAUUUCACAGGGAAUAACAGGGAUAGGAAAAUGUUUUUGGCUAUUCUUUCCCGGAUUAGGAGUAGAAUGAUUUUGGGUGAAACUGGAGAUGGAAAUGGAUGGAUAUAUGUGGAUGGUACUUCCGGAGUAGAAGUAGCAUAUAUGAGUGAACGUGCAAGUGAAUCUUGAUUUAACCACAUGACAAGCUCCUAAGGGUCUACACAGCUUGACCACACUCAAUGCUCAUAAGCAGUAAAUAAAUGUGUGGCUCAAAGUCUAGCAAGCAUGUAUAUAUGGCUGUGGUAGGAAUUUAAACUUCAUCAUACAGGAACUCAUCAUACAAUAUUUUAAAGAUUUUCAAAGAUAAAAUUCUCCAGAAUUCUAGCAUCUCUAGGAACAGAUAAACAGCAGCUCAACCUUCCCAUAUCUUAUCCGUUAACAACUUAGAUUUCAGAUCAAGUUUUCAUCCCACAAGUUUAGAUCUAGAGCAAGCUUUAAAUUAUAACAGUUAUGUCUAAACUUGAGAGAGAAUUUUAAAUUUGCAAAUUAGGCAGAGCAACUAUUCAUCAUAUCCAUGCUAGAGUUUUAUUAUUAAGAUUCAUAGCAAACUUUAUUUAUUUAUUUAUUUAUUUAUUUAGCAAACUAAGAAAAGAUAUAUAUAUAUAUAUAAGCAUAAAAUCUUUAUUUGGUUUUUCAUAGUUUAUGUAUUUUAAUAUUCUAAUAUAAUAUAAGUAUAAAGAUAGGUAGAAAUACUUAGCGAGAUAAAUAGGGGUGCUCUCCCCCAAGCUGAAUUUUGACGUAAUUUCUCUUGAUGUAGCUAGCAGGUGGCAGAGGUGUAUUUGAAAGUCAGCAGCAUUCUGACAGCGAUUAGAAUGUCCUCCGUCUGCUAGUCUUUUUGAUUCUUAAAUUCUGUGAAGCUCAAAUGGACAACAAAGCUUGUGGAACUAAUUAAGUGUUAGCAUAAAUAUCUAGCCUUCAUCACGUUGAGCUUCCUCAAUAAAUAUUACUCCCUAUUUUUAUAUUUUUAUUUUAUAAAGUAGAAAAGAAAUAUUUAUUUUAUUUUUAUGCCACCACAGUGAAGGUACUUAUGGGUUUUAUGCCACUCGUAUACUCACAUGGGGCUUAUUAUUUUUUAACAUUUUUAUUUUCUUUUCAAGAUAGCAUGAUUAACUAAAAAUCUAUUUAAGGAAAGUAAAUAAUUAAAGGGAAAAGGGAAUGCAGAAAGGAUAAAUAUGGAUAACUACCAAUCUUACCUUUCGGCGAGGGUUCAAUGUUUUAAGUCUUCUUGACAAGACUUCUCACCGUGUUCAUUCUUCAGGUGCGUCAUUUGAUUCAGGUGCGGACCUUGACGUCUGCACCUUUUAAUACGGUGUCACCCAUGUUCUUCGUUUGCCCAGCAGUUCGAAGUGAGGUGUUAGCAGUAUCUUGCUCAGUGUGUUUGUGCUCGUAGUGUACCUGCUCAUAGAGACAAGGCAGAGAUCAAGUGCAUGGGCCCUGUUGGUGGAAAACACCAACAGAACCAAAAGUGUAUUUGUUUUUCUCUAACCUUAAGCAUAGUGAGCAAGACAAAGUUGAUGAAUGAUAAGUUCAUGAGUGUAGCAUUUAAAACAUUUGCCGGAUCAGAUCGCUCAACCUUAUGGAAAGAUAAUCUAUCUAUGUAUAUGUCUUUUUCUUUAUAUCUCUCAAUGACUGAAUGUGCAACAUUUUAGCUCAUAUGAUUAGGAGUGUGGGAUCAUGGAGGUAGUACUAAGAACAAGGAAUAAAGGACUAAACAUGUUGAAUCAGUUGGGUUGGUUAAUCUAGAGUUGUAAAUCAUACACGUUUGUCUCUUUUAUUUAUAUGAACGCCAGAACCAAGGAGAAGCUUAUAAAAGUGAUAGUCAAGUACCUUAAGAUGUUACCUUGCUUGAAGAGUGAUGGUACAGUAUCAUCUUGUGGAAGCUUUCCUUUCUUAGCGGUUGUGCAUCGUGUUUGUGGCACCCUCCAUGGAUCAUUUCUUAUGUGCUACGUCUUCCUUGUGUAAAUUGUUAAACUUGAUGUGUCUCUCUCUUUGUCUCCAAUGUGAGUUUAUCUCAGGACUUCCCAGGUUGAUAUUGAAAGUUUUCCUGCAGGGGUUAGUCCAACAAAAUAUACCAAUGUCUACUCAAGCAGUUUUUAGUUCAGUAACCAAACUAGACUCCAUGUCUAAUCAGAUUAAGGAAGGCUAUUUAACCUAAGCACCAUGC
rnacentral:lncRNA from 1 species